rnacentral:rRNA from 1 species
AAGCGCUAACACGGCAGUCCGACCGAGAGACCCUCCGGGGCCCCACGUCGCGAACGGGUGAAGUCACACGUACAGGGAACCCGCCCGCGCACCGGGAAUACGCUCCCGGAAACGGAGAACAAAUCCCCGACGUACAGGAAGGAGGCAUCCUCCUUUCUCGUGAAACAUCCUUUAGGGGAUCGGGGCGCGGAUGGACCUGCGGUGCAUUAGUUGGUUGGCGGGGUAAAGGCCCACCAAGACGAUGAUGCAUAGCCGGCCUGAGAGGGCGGACGGCCACAUUGGGACUGAGACACGGCCCAGACUCCUGCGGGAGGCAGCAGUAGGGAAUUUUCGUCAAUGGGCGCAAGCCUGAACGAGCGAUGCCGCGUGAGUGAAGAAGGCCUUCGGGUCGUAAAGCUCUGUUGCGGGGGAAAAAAGGCAGCAUCAGGAAAUGGGUGCUGACUGAUGGUGCCCCGCCAGAAAGUCACGGCUAACUACGUGCCAGCAGCCGCGGUAAUACGUAGGUGGCGAGCGUUAUCCGGAAUGAUUGGGCGUAAAGGGUGCGCAGGCGGUCCUGCAAGUCUGGAGUGAAACGCAUGAGCUCAACUCAUGCAUGGCUCUGGAAACUGGAGGACUGGAGAGCAGGAGAGGGCGGUGGAACUCCAUGUGUAGCGGUAAAAUGCGUAAAUUUAUGGAAGAACACCAGUGGCCAAAGCGGCCGCCUGGCCUGUUGCUUAACGCUGAGCACGAAAGUCUUGGGGACCAAAUAGG